rnacentral:lncRNA from 1 species
AGUACCUACAUAUCUGGGGGGGGGGAAGGAGAUUUGCAGCCUAAAUUCAAAGAUCUCCAGUAUUUAAAUGUCAACAUCGAUUUAUUUAUUUAUUGCUGAGCUGACCGUAACUGACUUAAUAACAAAUCUAAUCAUGUUUGCUCCGGGAAAGAAAUAUUCUCAUUAUGUAUUUUCGCCCGCCAAAUGAUGGCUCACCAUUCCAUUUGAAUACCUGCUAUAAAUAUCAAUAAUACGCAGUAAUUACU